GACACGGUCCAAACUCCUACGGGAGGCAGCAGUGAGGAAUAUUGGUCAAUGGGCGGAAGCCUGAACCAGCCAAGUAGCGUGCAGGAAGACGGCCCUCCGGGUUGUAAACUGCUUUUAGUUGGGAAUAAAACGGGGCUCGUGAGCCCCCUUGCAUGUACCAUCAGAAAAAGGACCGGCUAAUUCCGUGCCAGCAGCCGCGGUAAUACGGAAGGUCCGGGCGUUAUCCGGAUUUAUUGGGUUUAAAGGGAGCGCAGGCGGACCUUUAAGUCAGCUGUGAAAUACGGCGGCUCAACCGUCGAACUGCAGUUGAUACUGGAGGUCUUGAGUGCACACAGGGAUGCUGGAAUUCAUGGUGUAGCGGUGAAAUGCUCAGAUAUCAUGAAGAACUCCGAUCGCGAAGGCAGGCAUCCGGGGUGCAACUGACGCUGAGGCUCGAAAGUGCGGGUAUCAAACAGGAUUAGAUACCCUGGUAGUCCGCACAGUAAACGAUGAAUACUCGCGGUUUGCGAUAUAGUGUAAGCCGCCAAGCGAAAGCGUUAAGUAUUCCACCUGGGGAGUACGCCGGCAACGGUGAAACUCAAAGGAAUUGACGGGGGCCCGCACAAGCGGAGGAACAUGUGGUUUAAUUCGAUGAUACGCGAGGAACCUUACCCGGGCUUGAAUUGCAGAGGAAGGAUUUGGAGACAAUGACGCCCUUCGGGGCCUCUGUGAAGGUGCUGCAUGGUUGUCGUCAGCUCGUGCCGUGAGGUGUCGGCUUAAGUGCCAUAACGAGCGCAACCCUCAUCCUCGUUUGCCAUCAGGUGAUGCUGGGCACUCCGGGGACACUGCCAUCGUAAGAUGUGAGGAAGGUGGGGAUGACGUCAAAUCAGCACGGCCCUUACGUCCGGGGCUACACACGUGUUACAAUGGCAGGUACAGAGAGAUGGUCCAAUGCAAAUUGGAUCAAAUCCUUAAAGCCUGUCUCAGUUCGGACUGGGGUCUGCAACCCGACCCCACGAAGCUGGAUUCGCUAGUAAUCGCGCAUCAGCCAUGGCGCGGUGAAUACGUUCCCGGGCCUUGUACACACCGCCCGUCAAGCCAUGAAAGCCGGGGGCGCCUAAAGUCCGUGACCGUAAGGAGCGGCCUAGGGCGAAACUGGUAAUUGGGGCUAAGUCGUAACAAGGUAGCCGUACCGGAAGGUGCGGCUG
rnacentral:rRNA from 1 species